rnacentral:rRNA from 2 species
GUGCUUGCAUCAUGAUUUACAUUUGAGUGAGUGGCGAACUGGUGAGUAACACGUGGGAAACCUGCCCAGAAGCGGGGGAUAACACCUGGAAACAGAUGCUAAUACCGCAUAACAACUUGGACCGCAUGGUCCGAGUUUGAAAGAUGGCUUCGGCUAUCACUUUUGGAUGGUCCCGCGGCGUAUUAGCUAGAUGGUGAGGUAACGGCUCACCAUGGCAAUGAUACGUAGCCGACCUGAGAGGGUAAUCGGCCACAUUGGGACUGAGACACGGCCCAAACUCCUACGGGAGGCAGCAGUAGGGAAUCUUCCACAAUGGACGAAAGUCUGAUGGAGCAACGCCGCGUGAGUGAAGAAGGGUUUCGGCUCGUAAAACUCUGUUGUUAAAGAAGAACAUAUCUGAGAGUAACUGUUCAGGUAUUGACGGUAUUUAACCAGAAAGCCACGGCUAACUACGUGCCAGCAGCCGCGGUAAUACGUAGGUGGCAAGCGUUGUCCGGAUUUAUUGGGCGUAAAGCGAGCGCAGGCGGUUUUUUAAGUCUGAUGUGAAAGCCUUCGGCUCAACCGAAGAAGUGCAUCGGAAACUGGGAAACUUGAGUGCAGAAGAGGACAGUGGAACUCCAUGUGUAGCGGUGAAAUGCGUAGAUAUAUGGAAGAACACCAGUGGCGAAGGCGGCUGUCUGGUCUGUAACUGACGCUGAGGCUCGAAAGUAUGGGUAGCAAACAGGAUUAGAUACCCUGGUAGUCCAUACCGUAAACGAUGAAUGCUAAGUGUUGGAGGGUUUCCGCCCUUCAGUGCUGCAGCUAACGCAUUAAGCAUUCCGCCUGGGGAGUACGGCCGCAAGGCUGAAACUCAAAGGAAUUGACGGGGGCCCGCACAAGCGGUGGAGCAUG